rnacentral:rRNA from 1 species
GACGAACGCUGGCGGCGUGCUUAACACAUGCAAGUCGAACGGAAAGGCUCUGUUUUUGUGGGGUGCACGAGUGGCGAACGGGUGAGUAACACGUGAGUAACCUGCCCUUGACUUUGGGAUAACUUCAGGAAACUGGGGCUAAUCCCGGAUAGGAGCUCCUGCUGCAUGGUGGGGGUGGGCAAGUUUCGGUGGUUGGGGGUGGACUCGCGGCUUAUCAGCUUGUUGGUGGGGUAGUGGCUUACCAAGGCUUUGAAGGGUAGCGGGCCUGGGAGGAGGACCGGACCCAUUACAACUGAGCUACGGCCCAGACUCCAACGGGAGGCAGCGGUGGAGAAUAUUACACAAUGCGCGGAAGCCUGAUGCGGCAACGCCGCGUGCGGGAAGACGGCCUUCGGGUUGGGAACCGCUGUCGCCUGUGACGAAGCGUGAGUGACGGUAACGGGUAAAGAAGCACCGGCUAACUACGUG